UGGGGGAUCUUGCACAAUGGGCGAAAGCCUGAUGCAGCGACGCCGCGUGGAGGAAGAAGGUCUUCGGAUUGUAAACUCCUGUUAAGUGGGAAGAAACCUUUGCGAGUAAUAUGCGCAGAGUCUGACGGUACCACUAGAGAAAGCUCCGGCUAACUUCGUGCCAGCAGCCGCGGUAAUACGAAGGGAGCAAGCGUUAUUCGGAAUCACUGGGCGUAAAGGGCGUGUAGGCGGUUAGUUAAGUCAGUUGUUAAAUUCCCCAGCCUAACUGGGGCCCAGCAAUUGAAACUAAUUAGCUAGAGUACAGAAGAGAGAAGUGGAAUUAUCGGAGUAGCGGUAAAAUGCGUAGAUCUCGAUAGGAACACCGAUGGCGAAGGCAGCUUCUUGGUCUGUUACUGACGCUAAAAUGCGAAAGCGUGGGGAGCAAACAGGAUUAGAUACCCCUGUAGUCC
rnacentral:rRNA from 1 species